rnacentral:rRNA from 1 species
ACGUCCCAGCAGCCGCGGUAAUACGUAGGUGGCAAGCGUUGUCCGGAAUUAUUGGGCGUAAAGCGCGCGCAGGCGGUUUUUUAAGUCUGAUGUGAAAGCCCCCGGCUCAACCGGGGAGGGUCAUUGGAAACUGGGGAACUUGAGUGCAGAAGAGGAGAGUGGAAUUCCACGUGUAGCGGUGAAAUGCGUAGAGAUGUGGAGGAACACCAGUGGCGAAGGCGACUCUCUGGUCUGUAACUGACGCUGAGGCGCGAAAGCGUGGGGAGCGAACAGGAUUAGAUACCCUGGUAGUCCACGCCGUAAACGAUGAGUGCUAAGUGUUAGAGGGUUUCCGCCCUUUAGUGCUGCAGCAAACGCAUUAAGCACUCCGCCUGGGGAGUACGGUCGCAAGACUGAAACUCAAAGGAAUUGACGGGGGCCCGCACAAGCGGUGGAGCAUGUGGUUUAAUUCGAAGCAACGCGAAGAACCUUACCAGGUCUUGACAUCCUCUGACAACCCUAGAGAUAGGGCUUCCCCUUCGGGGGCAGAGUGACAGGUGGUGCA